rnacentral:rRNA from 1 species
CGGAGGGUGCAAGCGUUGUCCGGAUUUAUUGGGUUUAAAGGGUGCGUAGGCGGCAGAUUAAGUCAGCGGUGAAAUUCCACAGCUCAACUGUGGAACUGCCAUUGAUACUGGUUUGCUUGAGUACAGAUGAGGUAGGCGGAAUUGACAGUGUAGCGGUGAAAUGCUUAGAUAUUGUCAAGAACACCUAUUGCGAAGGCAGCUUACUAAGCUGUAACUGACGCUGAGGCACGAAAGCGUGGGGAUCAAACAGGAUUAGAUACCCUGGUAGUCCACGCUGUAAACGAUGAUUACUCGAUGUGUGCGAUAGACAGUACGCGUCCAAGCGAAAGCGUUAAGUAAUCCACCUGGGGAGUACGCUCGCAAGAGUG